rnacentral:rRNA from 1 species
UACGAAGGGGGCUAGCGUUGCUCGGAAUGACUGGGCGUAAAGGGCGCGUAGGCGGUUUGUACAGUCAGGUGUGAAAUUCCCGGGCUCAACCUGGGGGCUGCACUUGAUACGUAUGGACUGGAGUGGGGAAGAGGGUCGUGGAAUUCCCAGUGUAGAGGUGAAAUUCGUAGAUAUUGGGAAGAACACCGGUGGCGAAGGCGGCGACCUGGUCCUUGACUGACGCUGAGGCGCGAAAGCGUGGGUAGCAAACAGG